UUGAACGCUGGCGGCAGGCCUAACACAUGCAAGUCGAACGGUAACAGGAAGCAGCUUGCUGUUUCGCUGACGAGUGGCGGACGGGUGAGUAAUGUCUGGGAAACUGCCUGAUGGAGGGGGAUAACUACUGGAAACGGUAGCUAAUACCGCAUAACGUCGCAAGACCAAAGAGGGGGACCCUCGGGCCUCUUGCCAUCGGAUGUGCCCAGAUGGGAUUAGCUUGUUGGUGGGGUAACGGCUCACCAAGGCGACGAUCCCUAGCUGGUCUGAGAGGAUGACCAGCCACACUGGAACUGAGACACGGUCCAGACUCCUACGGGAGGCAGCAGUGGGGAAUAUUGCACAAUGGGCGCAAGCCUGAUGCAGCCAUGCCGCGUGUAUGAAGAAGGCCUUCGGGUUGUAAAGUACUUUCAGCGGGGAGGAAGGGAGUAAAGUUAAUACCUUUGCUCAUUGACGUUACCCGCAGAAGAAGCACCGGCUAACUCCGUG
rnacentral:rRNA from 1 species